rnacentral:lncRNA from 1 species
GUGCUAGGAGAAAGUCAGAAUAUUAUUUUGAGGCUUGAGAUUAGUACCUAAAACAGCAAGAAAGGAGCUGGAAACAUUUGACUUAAUCAGCUAGAGGAAUCUCAACUCAAAGAACUGUGAGUUACCUAGGGGUUAGAUGCUCUUUCCACUCGUAGCUCUAUGUAACAUGAAUAUAAACUCAUUCCCAGUUCUUUCCCCCUCAGGCUUAUUUCCUUCUGGAAGGAGAAGUGCUGAUGUUCAGAGACAUGGAGAAAACAUAGAAUACUGGACCUUAAAAUCUCUCUCUGACUCCUAGUUGUUCUUCAGGAGUAAUCGGCUUGCUCUUCCUUUCAUAGAGUUUCUGCCUUCCAGGAGAGUAAUUGUACCAUAUAGAACACAAUAUAUAUAGGAAAUUUAUUUUUAUAUGAAUAUAGAAUAAGUCAGACAAUAUAAUCGCAAGACAGCUAGAGAAAAUAUCAUUGAUAUAUACUGAGUAUAUAAUAGAUGUCACGCUGUGAGCUCUAUUUUAUAGAUAUGAUUCUCUAACAUUCAAAUAUACUCAAUGGAAUACUUACUAUCAUUCCCAUUUUAAAGUAGAGAAAAACAAAACCAACAGAUAGAGCACCAGAUUUUAGAGCUUAACUCAACUAUUUCAGUACACUGAAUGUAACCAACACUUGUGCAUAACUUGGUGGGAUUUUUAUCUUAGGUGGAAUAAUUUUUUUUCACUUUGGUAUCAUUAAGUUUUGUAAAUGCAAAAGUGACCCCUUGCUCCCGUCUCUUUUCCUCUCCAUAGCAGACAACACCCGGAUCAAACAGAAGAAAUCCAUUGUUGAACCUGUGUUGAGCCAGGGCCCAGGAAUGUAUUUGAGAGUUUGAGGUUGCAAGGUUGAUACUCUUGAUGUUCCUGAAGGGAUAUGCAGGAGGGCAGAGAGAUGCAAUGAUGUCAGCACAUGCUGGCAUAACGUAGAAACUCAAAUGGCUGCUCCGUAAGGGAAACUUUAUCAUGCACUAGAAGCAAACUGUGGGAGAAGUAGGGCAGUUGUUUUCUGCAUCUUAUGUGGGAGUAGGCCAACAGUCCUAAAACCACACUGAACAGGAAAGAGCCUUGCAGUGCUUAAUAAAAUGCAGACAUCUAGGACUUUAUCUCCUAGAGGUUGUGAUCCAGGCAGUCCGGUACCACACCCUGAGAAAUCUGGCACUCAACUCCAGUCCCAAUAACUAUGACCGUGGAUCUUUGCCUCCAGGUACCCAAUGGAGCUAUUUUGGACCUUACCAAUGAUACCCAAUGACUGGGAUGGGAGAUGCUGCACCUUCUUGACUUUGGCUCUAACCUACAGACUGAAAUCCUAUUUUUAAUAUGCCACU